AUAGCGUAUAUUAAAGUUGUUGCAGUUAAAAAGCUCGUAGUUGAACUUCAGACCUGGCUGGACGGUCUGCCUAACGGUAUGUACUGUCUGGCUGGGCCUUACCUCUUGGUGAGCCGGCAUGCCCUUCACUGGGUGUGUCGGGGAACCAGGACUUUUACCUUGAGAAAAUUAGAGUGUUCAAAGCAGGCAAAUGCCCGAAUACAUUAGCAUGGCAUAAUGGAAUAGGACGUGCGGUUCUAUUUUGUUGGUUUCUAGAGUCGCCGUAAUGAUUAAUAGGGAUAGUUGGGGGCAUUUGUAUUGCGUUGCUAGAGGUGAAAUUCUUGGAUUUACGCAAGACAAACUAUUG
rnacentral:rRNA from 1 species